AAACAAAUGAGUUUGAUCCUGGCUCUACUAGAACGCGUGCAUUAUGUUUAACACAUGCUAAUCAACACAUUCUGAUUUUAUUUCAUUUGAAAAAAAUCAGAAGUGUGGUGUCAUGGUGAGUAACACAUUAGCGGCUACCCUAUAAUACCAUUAAAAAUGGAAUAAAAAAAUAUAACUUGUUAUAGGAUGUGCUGAUGCAGUAUUAGGUUGUUGGGCUGGUGAAAGCAGCCCAAGCCUUUGAUGCUUAGCCUCCCUCAGCGGGGGAAAGGCCACAGUGGAACUGAAAUUAAGGUUCACCCCAUAUGGCAGCAGUGAAGAAUCUUUGACAAUAAGCGAAAGCUUGAUCGAGCAUUAAUGCAUGAGUGACAAAGAAGUACUCUUUGCAAUCAGGGAAAGCCGCCGAGUUGUAAAACUCUCAUACUUUGGUAAAAAUUGAUAUUUCCAAAGAUAUAGCCCCGACCAACUCUGUGCCAGCAGUCGCGGUAAGACAGAGGGGGCGAGCGUUUAGUAUAUUGACUGGGCUUAAAGUGCGCUAAGGUUGUUUACAAAAAUAAGCUUUAAUGCCUACAUUGUAGGAACAGAAAGUGUUAUAUUUAUAAGCUAGAGUUUAUAUCAGGAAAGUAGAAUUCCUCGUGUAAUGGUUAAAUGUGUAAAGAUGAGGAGGAAUGCCGACGGCGAAGGCAGCUUUCUAGAAUAAUACUGACGCUAAAGCGCGGAAGCGUGGGGAGCGAAGAGGAUUAGAGACCCUCGUAGUCCACGCCGUCAACGAUGAGUGUAGAACUUUUUUAUAAUAAAAGUUGUAGCUAAAGCAAAAACACUCCGCCUGGGGAGUACUGCGGCAACGCAUAAACUCAAAGGAAUAACCAGCAGAAAAGUUCGCGGUGGAACAUGCUAUUUAAUUUAAAAAUACGUGAAAAACCUUACCACCUCUUGUAUGCAGACUAAUCCAUAUAUAAGACUUUUUUUUACAAUAGCUCAAGCUAUUAGUUAUAUUAAUUACUAUUAACUCAAAUGUAAUAUGCUCGAUCCCUUAUGUAGAACUCGAAAGCUAACACAUUUAAGGCUGUAUGUACUUAGUUUAUUCUAUUGGAGACGCAGUUUAGUUUUUUUUUUCCAAAGUUAUAAUCUUUUAAAAGAUUAUUUUACAAAACAAAAUCACUAGAUAGAAUUUUUUAAAAGAAAAAAAACUACGCUUUUUUUUUGCUUUUAUACUUACUUCUUUUUUAGACUGCACAGGUGCUGCAUGGUUGUUGUCAGUUCGUGGCGUAUAGCCGUUUAGGUUCAUUCCUAGUAACGAGCGAAACCUUCCCAUAAUGUUAAAAACCAUUUUGUACAUAUUUAGAUGUGUACAAAAUGGGUAUUUAUAUACCUAUUUAUUCAAUCAAAUAGUUAUAAAAAUACACGGUACUUUGUGGAAUAGCAGAUUAAACCCUGCUAAUCUCUUUUUUAUUAAAGAGUUGGAGACGAAAUCAAAUCAUCAUGGCCCAAAUGGGGUGGGCUAUAAGUGUGUGACAUUGGAUUCUAUAGUAAGGAAGCAAUGGUGCUAAGCCAGAGCAAACCCUCAAAAGAAUUUUUAGUUCAGAUUGUUCUCUGCAACUCGAGAACAUGAAGGAGGAAUCGCGAGUAAUCGCGAAUUAGCACGUCGCGGUGAAAAUCAUUAUAAUUUUCUGGGGAUUCUUUGCCCAUCAUAGGACGAAAAUUGAGUAGGUUCGAAAAUAGAAAUGGCAUGUUUUAGUUUUAAAAAUCACUAUAAAAGUUAUAGUAUGUCUUUAAUUAAAAUAUGUCUGUUUUUAGAUAAAGCAAGCUUAGUAAUCAUUCUAAAGUUGUAACAAGGUAACUGUACGGGAACGUGUAGUUGAAUCGUUUUAUAC
rnacentral:rRNA from 1 species